rnacentral:misc_RNA from 1 species
AACGCACCUUGCACCAUUGGGAACUCCCGAUGGUACGUCUGUUUGAGUAUCAAUCAACACCUGCAAACUUUGCUUUUAACCGAGCCAUACUUUGCAUAUCGAUUGGAUAGUUUUAUUACUACCGAUUUAGAUACAUAGUCUAGCCACGCUAGUCAACAGAGUUUAACACUUCUGAGUGACGAAUGUAGCAGCAUGACUGGGGCUUCUUGAAGCCUUUAACUUUGAUCUCAAAUCAGACGAGGAUACCCGCUGAACUUAA